rnacentral:misc_RNA from 1 species
GAUGAAGAACGUAGCGAAAUGCGAUAAGUAAUGUGAAUUGCAGAAUUCAGUGAAUCAUCGAAUCUUUGAACGCACAUUGCGCCCGCGAGUAUUCUCGCGGGCAUGCCUGUCCGAGCGUCAUUUCAACCCUCAGGGCCCGCCUGCUUCGGCAGGCGCGGCGCUGGUGUUGGGGAUCGGCCUAACCGCCGUCCCCCAAAUACAGUGGCGGUCUCGCUGCAGCCUCCCCUGCGUAGUAGCAACACUCGCAUGCGGAGCGCGGCGCGGCCACGCCGUAAAACCCCCGACUUUCUGAACGUUGACCUCGGAUCAGGUAGGAAUACCCGCUGAACUUAAGCAUACAAUAAGCGGAGGA